rnacentral:rRNA from 1 species
AGUGAGCAGGCGCGAAACCUCUACAAUGCACGAAAGUGUGAUAGGGGGAUCCCAAGUGCUCAUGCAUUGCAUGGGCUUUUGCCAAGAAUAAAUACCUUGGCGAAUAAGUGAUGGGCAAGACUGGUGCCAGCCGCCGCGGUAACACCAGCGUCACAAGUGGCAACCACAAUUAUUGGGCCUAAAGCGUCCGUAGCCUGCUUGUCAAAUUUCUUGUGAAAUCGUUAAUGUUAACUUAACGGCGAGCAAGAAACACUAGCAAGCUAGAGACCGGGAGGAGUCAGAGGUAUUUCUUGGGGAGCGGUAAAAUGUUAUAAUCCUUGAAAGACCACCUGUGGCGAAGGCGUCUGACUAGAACGGUUCUGACGGUGAGGGUCGAAAGCUAGGGUAGCGAUCCGGAUUAGAUACCCGAGUAGUCCUAGCUGUAAACGCUGCGAGCAAGGUGUUGCACAUUCCUCGUGAUUGUGCAGUAUCGAAACGAAGGUGUUAAGCUCGCCGCCUGGGUAGUAUGGCCGCAAGACUGAAACUUAAAGGAAUUGGCGGGGAGGCACUACAACGGGUGCGGCGUGCUGUUUAAUCUAAUUUUACACAGAGAAUCUCACUAGGGGCGACGGCCGGAUGAACUCAGUUGACGACUUUACCUGACAGCCGAGAGGAAGUGCAUGG